rnacentral:misc_RNA from 1 species
UUUUUCUCCCUUUACCAACCCAUAGAAAUCUUGGAUUUUUAGAUUACAGUUUGUUAAUUCCUAAUGUUUAGGGAAUUGGGUAGCUGGGAUUUUUGCUAAAUAGUAAAAACUCCCCAAGCUCUCAAUUGCCUGCCAUUUCCUCUUUCUUACUCAAAUUUGAUAGGAUUAGCUUUUUGAGUAUUGUGGUGUGUGUGAUUGCCAAUGGAUAAGGAUGUUAAUGAUGCUAAUGGGUUCACAAAUAAGCCUUUGAUAACUGUAGACUCUGAAAAAGUUGAAAAUCAUACUGAUGAUAGAGAAGAUUACAGUGAGUCCAAGACCUUGUUGCCUCCCAGGAGGGGUGGGAUGGCAAGAAAUCCACACAGAGUGCGGAGAAAAGUUCAGUGGAAUGAUAACAAUGGGAAUGAACUCACCGAGGUUUUAAUAUUUGAACCAAGGUAAUAAUAGUUUUUUGCUUUAGGCAAAGAACUUUUGGUAUUUUGCAUUUUUGCUUGCUAUUUUUAUUUUCAUCUGAUGUUUGGUAAAUUUGUUUGAGGUGUUGGUUUUUGGUUUGUAUACUUGGUAUAUUUAAUGCAUGUUUAUGGUUACUACUAUCGAAUCCAACUGCACAAUCAUUCCAAGAAUGUAAUUUGUAUGCAUGUGUGGAAUGCUAUAGCAGGAUCUGCCUCGGUUUGACUGGUAUAUUUGGGUUAUAUCUGGGUGGUUGUAUGACUUGUAUGACUGUAAUUAUUGCUAUACUGGGUAAUUGAAUUCCUUGAAUAUUUGUGCAUGCUUAUCUGCUAGCCCACAUUCAAGAAUUUGUGGUGUGUAUCUCUACUUUUGGUUAGGUUGAAGUGAUUGAAGUGUUCAUAGCAUGUGUGUAUGGUAUCUCUGGGUUGGAUCAUGUUUAAUAAUUUUGAUAAUUUUUUUAAAAUGCAGGUGAUAAUUUUGUUUUCAUUGAAUUCUAGCUUAUGUGUGUAUGGUAUUCUCUGGGUUGGAUUAGAAAUAUUCCUUGCUCAUACUAAUACUGUAUGGGAAAAUUAAAUGAGUUAACCCAUUUACUCCCUGGAAACUGCUAUUGCCAUUCUGUAUUUAUUGUCUCACUAAGGAGGCUGAGAUAGGGACUGGAAUUGAGAAUUAGCAGUUAGAAAUUUGGAUUCACUGCCUCGUUGAAUAUGUAGCUUCUGUUAGAGGCAGGGCUCUGUUAUCCUGAUAAUUAUCAAUAGACAGCUUCAAAUGAUGGCUUGCCCUCUAGUGUGAUAUGAAUGUGCGUGGAAAGAAUUGAUGAUACAUUUUAGUGAAAACAUUUAAUAGUUAAUACACUAAUUUUCCAACCAUGUUAUGGGCUAAAGCUCUGAUGAAACACCGAAUUGAAAUCAAUUCCUUGGUUCAGCUUCAGCUGCUUGCUUUAAUCAUUUGGUCACUCAGAGGAUCUUCAAUUCUGCUACAUUGCAUUAAGAAAUAACUGAAAAUAGGCAACAAUUCAUGUUUAGGUAAAUAAUCAUUUUCUUAUGCAUUUAACAACUGUUCACAGAUCUAAUGCUAGUGACUUUGUGCCUCACUCCAUGUUUUCUGUUUGUGCCUGCAGUGAUGAUAGUGAUUCUGAUGAUGACGAUUCAGAUUCUUGCGCCUGUACCAUAAUGUAGUUAUUUCAGUACAUUUUGUAUAGGUCUGCUAGAUAAGUCAAUGAAGCAUUCUCUGUGAUCACAAAUUUGAUAGUUAGAAGUGACUGGGCCUCUUUUCAACUUCUUGUUGCUAGAACCAAAGGGCUGAAGGAUGAAAAGGCAAGUGUCAUGCUUUUCAAAAUGAAGUUUAAUGUCAGUUCAUCAAAAUGAACUGUUUGCUCAUCAAAAUGAAGUUUAAUGCCAGUUCAUAAAUUUUGUGGUGAGUUUUAUGACAUAGCUUUCAGUUGUGUGGAUCUCAUCCCAGGAUUUGAAGCAGAUAGCAAUAAUGACGGUCAAAGUCAAUUAAAACUGACCACUUUUGGCGUCGACACACAUCAAUAUGUGAGAAAUGAACAACAGUCAAGAGAUUGCUUUGGAUGAUUGUUUGCUUAAGUUGCCGUUAAAACUCUGAUCAUUUUAUGCUGGUAGCGAUAUGAGCUAUUCAUCAUAGCUAUUGUCAUAUUAAAUUCUGUAGUUUGCUGCAUUUUUAUGGGAUCAAGCUUCCCGUAGCGAACCUCAUGAUCCUGAGCUCUUACAACGAGCAUGUAUAAGUUGUAAAUGUUUAAUUCAGUUAUAAUAUAAUGGUGAUGUGUAAUUUUCUCAACCUUUCAUAAAACUUUCUCAAUUGAUCCCUGAUUACUAGCCAUGGGACAAGAAGGGAGGAAAUGGAGGUGAAUAAAUAAAAAAUAAUAAUAAUAAUUUAGAAUAUAAAUAUCAAUGAGCCUAUUUUAUUGCAAUGUUCCAACGUCGAACUUGUAUCAUAUUUUUAAGAACGAAAUUGAUAAAUUCCAGAAUUGAAAUUUUCUCUAAAAUGUGAGAUCAAAUUUUAAUAAUAAAGAAGUGAAAUGAUAUGAUGUAGAUGAUAGCAGUAGGAAAACUUACCCGAUUUUGAAAAUUUGGGUUGCUUUUGACAGAUAGGAAGAUCCGCAAGAACCCAGCAUGAACCAGGACAGGCUCCUUCCCUUCUUCUUCUCCUCCUCCUUCUUCUCCAUCAAAUUGAUGCUCCAAAGGAAAGAAAAGGCCAUUGGUAGCAGUAACAAGCGGUUCAAGAUUUCUGCCGGAGGUUGGGUCGGGCCCUGACCCCAAUUGAACACCAGAAAAUGCCAGAUGGCCGACGCUUCCCAUCUGCUCUGCUACAAAACCUUGCGACGGCAUCGU